UGAAAAAGCUUUUCAUCCUCUCACUCAUCGCUUUUGUGUGUGCGUAGCCCGCAUAUAUUCACUUUAUUUGUUCAAGUGCUUUGCAUGUGUUUAACAUACGCAGAGCAUCGUCUGCUAGGCCUUCUACAUAGCGUAUGCAUGUCUGAUGGUGUUGUGUCGAUUCAGUAUGAGUUAUCUCGGAAAUCACCAUGUCAUAUGAGAAACCGUGUCGCAAAGUACAUCAAUUCACCCGCGGUUGAUCAAACCAUGUCUGAGCGUUUGCCAUAUUGCCCCUGAUGGUGACACUUCAAAACUAUUUAAAUGCUCCGUCGUUUUGGCAAAUAUUCGACGUGACCGCUGCAAUGUUUCCUAUAAACAGCUCAUCGAUAUGAGCUGUUUGAUACGUUUUACUCGUCCAGUCUGAUACGUCUUCACUCAAGCAGCUUUUGGACGUUCACAGUUUGCUAGAAGACUGGAGUAUUGAUCGGCCAAAUUUCCUCUGUUGCAACAGUCGGUCGCUCCAUCAAGCUUCUGGCUUAACCCUGGCAACGCUACAAUGAUCUUUGCCGUAUUGCUCGGCUCAGCGUUUCAGUAGGAGUGUGCAAGUUUGGGUAUAAACCUUUGAUGUCUGCUAAUUGACUAUGUGCGUGUGUACACUAAUAAACAGUCGCAGAUUCUUUUAGUGUGCAGACACACAAUUCCAUCUAUGCACCUGACUAUAUUUUUCACACAGUUAUGAGUAUACAGCAAUUAUUGUGCUUAAUUUAGAUCCCACAGAAUUAGAUAUUUUUACCUGAUUCUAUAUGUAGGCCACCAAUUAUAACCACAUAAGCAACUGUAGGAAAGCACCGGCUGCUAAGUAACGAGUUACAUACGCAAUAAGAACGACAGAAUUACCCAGGCACCUAGCAGAAUUCUACGGGAUAAUUAGCUUCAAAUACACAAUUAGUAGAUCUGACAUAUAACUCAUAUGCAAUUUUCGGUAAUAAGUAGAUUAUUACAUUACACAGAUCCUAAAUUCGGUAUAUAAUGUAGUGAGUGAUUAACAAUGUCUUCGUUAUUGCUAAUCAGGGGGCUACGUUGGGUACGACGGCGGCCAAGAGAUAUUGGCCGUACGCCUUAUUGCAAAUUGUCAGAAAAAUGAACAACAGUGCAAUCGCCAAAAAAUGUAAAAAAAUGACAAAGUAUCGCAAUGUAUUAGAGCAAACUAAAUCAUCGAAGCGUCUUGGAAAUUGUAAUGAGUGAAUAUCUGGUAUCUAGUAAUUAUUUAAUAACGCUAAUUUUGUGCUCCCAAAUCUAUCACAAAUGUGUCGCACUGUGUAAUAAAUUGCUAUAUAACUACUGCUAGAGGAACCGACUUGGCCUGUUUAUAAUUUAGAUAAAAAAGAGGCCAUAAAAUAAAGUGGUUCUACGUAGGAUGAAUUUUAUGAGUCUACAAAGGUACUUCUAUCGUAUAAUUAAAACGAUAAUAUUCUCAGCCUGUCCACAGUGCAGUACAUUUCUCGUCUUCGGUUGGAAAAAAACAAAGCUACUAGCAUUGUUUUUUUUCGAACUAGGGGUGUAACGGUUGAAUUAGAGCGAAAGCAGUCUCUAAAAACUAAUGAUAGAUGAAAUAUUUUGAGCAUAGACGGCGACGCAUGAUAUUAUGGAUGGAGUUCCUCUCGUCUCGCUGCGACACUGAUGCCGUUAUAAAUGCAAUUUAUUCACUCGACAUUUCGUUUUUAUAUAGCGGUGUCCAUGGAACUGCUUAAAUCUUACCUGGUACAGGAGUCACCAAAGUCGCUUGGCGUUAAUUUCGGAUUUCAAUGCUGCACUAGGCACUCCACCAUAGGAUGCAACUAUUUGAAAAUUCAACGAAGUUGGAGUUUUGCUGCGAACUUUACAGAUUUUGGUAUCAAUUAAAUCAGGGAAUUCGAUCAUAUGGUGAAACUAUUUAACAAUUUAAAUUCAAGCAGCGAACACGCGUCGCUUAGUUACCCUCCUGUUCGCCGAAGUUAAGGAUCUAAAAAGUGCAAUGCAAACAAAACAUCCGUUUGUUAAUGCUAUAGAAUAAACGGACGACGUCGUCAUG